CAAAUGGUGUCCAGUUGCGGUCCUAGAUUCCUACCUUCAAAAUCCUUCCAGGAAUUAAAUACCGUAAUGCAUUUAAGGAAAUGUCUGGUUAAUUUGUAUAUAUUUGACUGUAUUAAAUCUUUGAUUAUUCAUUUUUGCCCUCUUUAUUUACAGGCCUACCGUAUCGUCGGUCUUGGCACACCACAACUGACUUGCUACCUUUAUACUAUCCUAUGCUUAU